rnacentral:rRNA from 1 species
GAUGAACGCUAGCGGCAGGCUUAAUACAUGCAAGUCGAACGGGAUUGAGAAGCUUGCUUUUCAUGAGAGUGGCGCACGGGUGCGUAACACGUAUGCAACCUACCUUGUCCAGGGGGAUAGCCCGUUGAAAGACGGAUUAAGACCGCAUAACAUUGAGCUGUGGCAUCACAAAUCAAUCAAAUAUUUAUAGGGACAAGAUGGGCAUGCGCCUGAUUAGGUAGUUGGCGGGGUAAUGGCCCACCAAGCCGACGAUCAGUAGGGGGUCUGAGAGGAUGACCCCCCACACGGGUACUGAGACACGGACCAGACUCCUACGGGAGGCAGCAGUAAGGAAUAUUGGCCAAUGGGCGAAAGCCUGAACCAGCCAUGCCGCGUGCAGGAAGACGGCCCUACGGGUUGUAAACUGCUUUUAUACGGGAAUAACCCCGGUUUCGUGAAACCGGCUGAAUGUACCGUAAGAAUAAGGAUCGGCUAACUCCGUGCCAGCCGCCGCCGUAA